AAAUAAAUAACUAAGUUUAAAGUGUGUUAUUUACAAUAACAAAAUGGCAUUUCGUCUUUAUUUU
rnacentral:tRNA from 1 species